UACGUAGGUGGCAAGCGUUGUCCGGAUUUACUGGGCGUAAAGAGCGCGCAGGCGGUCGUUCAAGUCGCGUGUGAAAGCCCCCGGCUCAACUGGGGAGGGUCACGCGAUACUGAUCGACUCGAAGGCAGGAGAGGGUAGUGGAAUUCCCGGUGUAGUGGUGAAAUGCGUAGAGAUGUGGAGGAACACCAGUGGCGAAGGCGACUUUCUGGCCUAUAACUGACGCUGAGGCGCGAAAGCGUGGGGAGCAAACAGG
rnacentral:rRNA from 1 species